rnacentral:rRNA from 1 species
AUUGAACGCUGGCGGCAGGCCUAACACAUGCAAGUCGAACGAGUGGCGGACGGGUGAGUAAUGUCUGGGGAACUGCCCGAUGGAGGGGGAUAACUACUGGAAACGGUGGCUAAUACCGCAUACUAUCGGAUGUGCCCAGAUGGGAUUAGCUAGUAGGUGGGGUAAAGGCUCACCUAGGCGACGAUCCCUAGCUGGUCUGAGAGGAUGACCCGCCACACGGUGACGGAGACACGGCCCAGACUCCGACGGGAGGCAGCAGUGGGGAAUAUUGCACAAUGGGCGCAAGCCGGAUGCAGCCAUGCCGCGUGUAUGAAGAAGGCCUUCGGGUUGUAAAGUACUUUCAGCGGGGAGGCGUUACCCGCAGAAGAAGCACCGGCUAACUCCGUGCCAGCAGCCGCGGUAAUUC